rnacentral:lncRNA from 1 species
CAUGAAAAAGUAAUUAAAAGAAAAGAAAAGUAAUUUAAAACGGAUUGGAAGGAAAGAUGAUAUAACCCAUAAUCCUACUUGCUGGCCUUACUAAAAGAAAAGCACCAAGACUUCGUCUAGCUAGCACAGAAACCUUAGUCUGUUUUGCUUUUGCUGCAUUUUCAAUUUGUAUGAAAUUCCCAUCUCUCAAGAGUCAAAGGGCUACGAACUUGCUGAUCCAACAACACUCUUUUGUCAUUAGCUUAUGAAAGCAGAAAAAGGAGUUCCCGCAUACCUA